rnacentral:rRNA from 1 species
AUUCCAGCUCCAAUAGCGUAUACUAAAGUUGUUGCAGUUAAAAAGCUCGUAGUUGAAUUUCUGGUCGUGGCGACCGGUCCGCCCCUCACGGGGUGUGCACCUGGUCUCUGCGUCCAUCCUCGGGGAGAGCGCGUCUGGCAUUCAGUUGUCGGGCGCGGGAUCCUCGUCAUUUACUGUGAGCAAAAUAGAGUGUUCAAAGCAGGCUUAGGCCGUUGAAUACAUUAGCAUGGAAUAAUAAGAUAGGACCUUGGUCUAUUUUAUCGGUUUGCACACCAAGUAAUGAUUAAUAGGGAUAGUUGGGGGUAUUCAUAUUUGAUUGUCAGAGGUGAAAUUCUUGGAUUUAUGAAAGAUGAACUUAUGCGAAAGCAUUUACCAAGGAUGUUUUCAUUG